rnacentral:tmRNA from 1 species
GGGGGUGAUACUGGCUUCGACGGAGCUAUACGUUCUUUGAACUGCACACCGUGUUGCCGUAGACACGUAAAACGACGGUAAAAAAAGUAAAUGGCGAAUAUAAUUACGCUUUAGCUGCCUAAUUAAAAAAUGGCAGCCGUUCUUCAAGUCCCCUCGCGCCGGGAUUUGAAAGAACGCCGUUCAGGUGCGAUAGCCGAGCCGAGUGUCCGUGCAGGCAAGGCGAAUUUCUAACGGACUGGUUUCGGGAGGAUUUGUCUGUCAAUCCGACCGGAACGAGACAAAACAAAGACAGACUAUGUGUGUAGACGUUCACUGAAAUGUAGCUUCGGACCGGGGUUCGACUCCCCGCACCUCCACCA